ensembl:misc_RNA
UAUGGGACCAUGGGUCCAUAGAUCAUAUGCCAGUUGAUAGAUAUUUACUAUGCUGUUCCAGGAAAACAAAUAACUGUACAGCUUAAACGAAAAGAAAAAUAUAUUAUUGCCAGUGUCUAAACUCCUCUAACAAUGGAAUGUGUCUGAUACCUUGUGUAUGGAUACAUGUGUACUUAAAACAGCCCCGCCAA